AACGAGGCCGACCUGCGGCUGAGUUACCUGCGGAGGGAUCAUUACAGAGUUGCAAAACUCCCUAAACCAUUGUGAACGUUACCUAAACCGUUGCUUCGGCGGGCGGCCCGGGUCCUUCCCGGCGCCCCUCGGCCCUCGCGGGCGCCCGCCGGAGGUAAACCAAACUAUUGCAUUGUAUGGCCUCUCUGAGUCUUCUGUACUGAAUAAGUCAAAACUUUCAACAAUGGAUCUCAGAUCGGA
rnacentral:misc_RNA from 1 species